UACGUAGGGUGCAAGCGUUAUCCGGAAUUAUUGGGCGUAAAGAGCUCGUAGGCGGUUUGUCGCGUCUGCUGUGAAAACCGGAGGCUCAACCUCCGGCCUGCAGUGGGUACGGGCAAACUAGAGGUAGGUAGGGGAGAAUGGAAUUCCCGGUGUAGCGGUGAAAUGCGCAGAUAUCGGGAGGAACACCGGUGGCGAAGGCGGUUCUCUGGGCCUUACCUGACGCUGAGGAGCGAAAGCGUGGGGAGCGAACAGG
rnacentral:rRNA from 1 species